UUCAUUCCGGGGUGCUCCACGGACGUACGUUGGAGUCUCGAGCCGUCUACAGCCUCAGAUACAUUUGGGUUGGCAUUCCAGUCGCUGUCUUGCCUUCGGUGUUUGUGCCUGUCUUCAUCUCCAGACGUGUGGCGUUUUGAGUAUCUCCCUUGAGACUACGAGCUAUGAGUACAUUGCUAACGGUCAUUCGUUUCAAGCUUGGAUAGUGGCGGUUGCCUGCAGGGGGUUGUGUCCGCACGUUCCAUAGGAAUUCCGGUCGGUAUAGGGUCAGGCGAGUGAGUCCUUGCUGAGUCCUAUCAGCAGUCGUCAGUUGCAGCAUUCGAUUGCGAGUGAGUGCGUGUUUGCGUGCGGAUUCGACUAAUUCAAGUCCUCAAACGGAAAGGAAGGAACAUAAGAAACGCGAAAAUUUAACGACUUUUUUACAACAAGGAAGAGGCGUUUAGGUAGUACGUCCUCCUUCAAUAGUAGGUGGAAAUUCGAUUCCGUACCGGACCUCGGUCAAGGAGCGGUUUGUUUGAAGUGGCAAUCGUGGUCGUACAUUCAUCGCCCGCAAGGCUAUUCGUGACAGAAUAUCUCAUCCCCCUAAGCCAAUAAUGUCCUUCAUGCCUGGCGUUCGCCGUUUAUCGGUUACGUGACCCCAAGUGCAGGAAGGUGGCACAAUUGAAUCAUAUGUGCAAGUGGGUGGCCAAGGUGUGCAAUGCAGUGAAUAACACAAGGAGGCAAGCUCUGAAGUGAAAGUGCUCCCUCGAGGAUACGUACAAGCCCAUCCUCAGCGUGGGGACACAAUUAAGAAAUCUUAACGAGAUUCCGUGCUCCUUUACGGAUGCCAGAAUGUUUUGAUGUUGGCAAACAGUGUGAAGGUGUCGACAAGUGGUGGGUGAUGCGUGCGUACGUGUCUACAUUUUCUGCAUGUGCGAAAAUUCAAGUGUUUUUUCUUCUGCCUACUGUUCCGGGAAAGCAUCAUCUCAGCGAGUGUCUUGAAAGUGUGAAAUUAUCCGUUGAAGAUUAGAUUUUCGUUAAUAAUCCAACGUCAGAGGUUUUAGAGUCGAAGCGACGUGUGUUUCAGAUAUAUAUAUUUUUUGGUGUUCCAAUUACUCGCUUUACUCCUUUAAUGGUUGUAGCAAGGACGACAAGUGAAUGUGAGGUGUAGGUUUUGUCCCUGUGUACAUACAUAUUUCUUCCAUACAUUCCUUCGAGAAAGCAUAUUGCGGCAACUGUUUCACCUUAAGUCGCAGACCGGCAGGGAACGUCCUGAAUAGGAAAUUGCGAUUUUCACUCCCCAGGAAGUUAUUGGAUUACUAAUGAAUGUAAUUGGCAGCAACGGAUUUUCAUUCCUAUUCGCUUGUUACUAAAUCAUGAUUCUCAGAAGAUCUGGAUAGAAACCAUGGACGACAGAAAAACCAUCUUCUCAACAACGGCAGCAAUAUUGUUGAUUACAAUUAGUCUAGUAAUUUUUAGUGUAAGGACAACAACAGCUAAAAGACUCAAUGCCAGCGAAGCAUUUGACAACACGUGGCCGAGUGAAAACGAACUGGAAAAUGAGUUAGAGCAAAAACGUAGUAAAAACCAAGCAUGGUCCGCCUGGUCGGAUUGGUCAACGUGUUCAAGAUCCUGUGAUGGUGGUAUUGCUCAACAGCUAAGGAGAUGUCACUCGCCCAAUGGUUGCCGGGGUGAGAGUAUACGAUUUAAAAUAUGUAAUAUGCAACCAUGUCCUGAAUCACAAGAUUUUCGAGCACAUCAAUGUAUGGCGUACGAUGAUGUCCCUUAUGACGGGACGUUGUUCAAAUGGACACCACACUAUGAUUAUUUGGAGCCAUGCGCGCUAACUUGCAGGGGACGACCAGCUCAUUUGCCAGAUGAUGAGACAGUAGUUGAGACGGACAGUGCUGAUGGAUCGGAAUCCUUUGAUGAACCAAGUGUUAUAGUGCAACUUACGAAUAGGGUGCAAGAUGGGACGAGAUGUCGACCAGGAAGUUUGGAUAUGUGCAUUCAGGGAAAGUGUCAGCGUGUCGGUUGCGAUUUGAAAAUUGGCUCAGCGAAAAAAGUGGAUGCGUGUGGAGUGUGCGGCGGUGAUGGGAGUUCGUGUUCGCAACCCCUCUAUCAUUGGGAGAUGGCAGCGAUGUCACUAUGUUCGGUAACAUGUGGUGGAGGUUAUAAAAUGUCACGACCGAAAUGUCGAAAUCGUGUAACUGGUGAAGAUGUUGAAGAUUCACUUUGCAGUGCCGUAGUGCAACCAGAGCCAGCUAUCGUCAAGUGCAAUACCCACUUGUGUCCUGCCAGGUGGAUUGUGGAAGAAUGGGGACCAUGCACUAAAUCGUGUGGAGGCGGUUAUCGUGAACGUGCAGUUGUCUGUGCCGAGGAGAGUAAUGGCGUUAAAUCUAAAAUUCCAGACGAUAUAUGUCGAACACCGAAACCACCCACCCGGGAAAGCUGCAAUUUGCAUGAAUGCCCCAAGUGGGUACCGACUGAAUGGUCGGGGUGUUCAGUGUCGUGUGGCACCGGAAUUCAAGUACGCGGUGUUGAAUGCAUGGAUUCGCAUGGAAAACUAAGUACACAAUGUAAUCCGCAUACGAAACCGCCAGCGGAACAAGUCUGUACGACUGGGAUUUCAUGUGAACACAGUUUAUAUGAUGUCGAGGACACAAGUCAUAGUGAAGAGGAGAAUUCAGAUCAGGUUUCCUAUAACGAUCAACCUUACUACUCCCACUGGCAGUCGCAGGCGGCACAUCAUGAGGAAAUGCCACCACUCUCGGAACGACGCCCAAUGUCUGAGCAGAAGUCAUCAAGUGAACCAUCAUUCAUGAAGGAAACCGAAUGGUCACCGUGCAAUGCAACCUGUGGCGAAGGAUACCGAACGCGUAAAUACGUUUGCAAAAUUCUUCUUGAAUUCUCCAAAACACUGGCAACAUUAAACGACUCUUUAUGUGAAGGACCAAAACCACCCGAUGAAAUCGAGCGAUGUAUCGUUGAGCCUUGCUCCCUUGCCUUCGGCUACGAUGAAUCCUAUCCAAAAGAUUCAAUACGUGUUGGAGUUUCCGAACCAGGCAAAACUUAUGUAUGGCGAGAACAAGGUUACACAAGUUGCAGUGCAUCCUGUUUGGGAGGUGUCGAGGAAUUAAUUAUUCAAUGUGUUCGAGAAGACACCGGCAAAGGGGUAUCUCCGUAUUUAUGCUCACCCGAAACAAAACCAGAGGCAAGAGUUCGUACCUGUAAUGACCGACCGUGUCCACCUCGAUGGAAUUACUCGGACUUCACGCCAUGCUCGAAAUCCUGUGGUAUUGGAAUUCGAACCAGAGAGGUGACUUGUAUUCACGAAGUCACAAGAGGUGGGGAGAAUACAAUGGUUGUCCCGAAUACAAUGUGCCCGCAACCACCUCCAGCUGAUAGACAAUACUGCAAUGUCCUUGAUUGUCCGGUUCGAUGGGAAGUUUCCGAAUGGUCGAAAUGCUCACAGUCCUGCGGUUAUGGGAUCAAGGAGCGUCGCGUUGAAUGCAAACAGAUUAUGGCCCAGGAACAUAAAAUCGAACGGCCUGAAUCGAUGUGUCCUAGUGCACGACCCCCAGAUAAGAAACCAUGCAAUGUUAAACCUUGCCCACCGGAAGAUCCUAGGCCCACAAUAUCCGUUAGCAACUCCACAUACAUUCAGCAUGACCCGAAAAAGACGAAAAUCACAUUGAAAAUCGGGGGCGCUGCUGAGGUUUUUUUUGGGACACAGGUCAAAAUCAAAUGUCCUGUCAAGCGAUACAAUCGGACGAAAAUCCGUUGGAGCAAGGACCAUAAGUUUCUCACGAAAUCGAAGAAAAUCAAAAUUUCGAAGAAAGGAGCAUUACGAAUUUUAGGAAUAACAUUCCGCGAUGCCGGCGUUUAUAUGUGCCACGCAGGACUAAGUACGGCCGAGAUUAAUAUCGAUGUAAAGCCAAAACCAGGAGGCGUUCAACCAGACGUGGAUUACAGUAACUUGAAGGAGGAUUCGGACCGCUCAGUUCGGGAUAGAAGUGGGACGGAAUUUCUCACUUCGGCGGAUAACACUGAAAAAAGCACAACUAACAGCCGAAAAAAGUUACGUGAACGAAGCAGAAAUCGACAAAAGCCAGAUGGUAUGCAGCAUGCCGAUAGCAGCAUAAUGGACGACGAGUCACAGCCAACGGAACGUCUAAAAGAUGGUCUGCCACAGACAGCAGCAAGUAGUGCAGGAAGUCGUUCAGUUAAGAUACCAUCGAUGCCUCAUUUUCGGGCUCUCUUGAAUAGUUUACAGUAUCUGUGGCCAUUACAGAGCUUCAGUAAUUCACCAGGACAUCACGUUCUCAUUGAAAAAGGACUCGACUUCGGAAUUGAACUAGAACAAUUGGAAAAGGACGAACCAGUAAAAGCUUUCAAUAUUAGUGAUAUAUUUUCAACAACCACCGAAGAUGCAGUCCUCCUAGGACGUGGUGAUAAAAAGGACCUUCAAUUCGAAUGGAUGACAACACCGUGGUCGGAAUGUUCACAGACUUGCGGUCUCGAGGAAGGACUAAGAAGACGUUCGAUUUACUGCAUGGUGAAACUGCACAACACAACUCAAAGUGUUGACAAUGCUCUAUGUGAAGAUGCAGGACUUGAGAUUCCCGACGCCUUUGAGUCGUGUGGACAAGAAGAGUGUCCUCGAUGGGUAAUAGGAUCCUGGACGCUUUGUCAGCGAUCUCGGUGUAUUGGUCGAAAUACGGCAAUUCAAAAGCGGGAUAUUGUCUGCAGAUUUCCUAACGACACACAUAGUAAUAAAUGUGAUGAAGGAGAACGCCCGCUCGACCGGCAGGAGUGUUAUAACGAGCUUUGCAAAGGCGUUUGGAGAGUGGAGCCGUGGUCACAGUGCAAUGCUCAAUGCGGUUCCCAAGGUAUCAAAUACAGAAUCCUCCAGUGUGUGUGGUAUGGCACACGAAGGCCAGCCGGCAACGCUUGCAGAAAUCAACCCCGGCCGGCUGUGAUGAAAGUGUGUAAAGGUGCUCCAUGUAUGUCAAAUUAUUUGAUGGUCCUUAAGAGCAAAUGUCCCCCGACACGGACCUAUUUUCAACAAAGUGGAGUGGUAGUGCGAUCGUAUGCAGGCAUUUGAAACUAGGGGGUAGGUCCAAGACUAGCCAACACCCGGUUCUACUAAACUAUGUAUCUGAAUGCAAAGAUACAUCUCGUUACUGUCGCAACGUUCGCUCAAUGGGUCUUUGUCGGCUACAUCGUUACCAACAAAAGUGCUGCAAAUCGUGUAAAUUUAAUAUAUAUAAUUAGUUAAAAGUAUUGUCAUAGU
rnacentral:misc_RNA from 1 species